rnacentral:lncRNA from 1 species
AUGUAUAUAUAUAUAUGUAUAUAUAUACAUAUAUAUAUAUAUAUAUAUAUAUUUAUAAUGUUUCUAACACCCGUCUAUCUCCACAGCGAUCACACAACCCCUUAUCACUAUGGGCCCCAUGAAGACCCCUUGAUGUUUUUGGAAUAUUUACGCAAUAUUGAACUCCCAGAACAACAACAAGAAAAACCACAACCUUUGGGCAACAUCGGAGACUCGGAAGAAUUCUUCAUCACCGGACCACACAUACCAGCGAGCAAUGAAUACUGAACAGCAAACGCAGCAAAAGACUCAUUGCCCCGAAAUGCAGAACUGACCGCCACAGUAAAUCCUUUGUGCCGGUGGCAAUAAGACUAUAACUCUUCUUCACUCUGUAGGUGAUUCUUCUCAGACGAUUACCAAUGUUAUUCUGUUCCCUCCCAGACCGUGCAAUAUUACCCAAGAGUACUUAUUGAAUAUUUGUUUCCAUCCCGCCAUCAUAUGCUGCUACUCCCUUUAUUCUAUUGCACAAUACUUUGUCACUUUCUAGAAUCGCCUGCACUUGAUUGUUAAGUUAUUUAUUCACCAGGAUAUAGUUAUGUAUAUUACUUCGUUAGAGUUAUUUGAUACCAUGUCUUGCACUAUCCUACUACUGUAUAUUACUGUACACUAUUCUUAUUGUAUAUAUUGUAUAUCUUAUAUCUUAUUCAUCUGUUCCUCUGUCUCUCCUGCUGCUUUGAGCAUGUACAGGACAAAAGAAUUUCCCUCGGGAUAAAUAAAGUUGUUCUUAUUCUUAUUCUUAUUCUUAUACAUUAAACCAGGUGUCUCCCAGCCCAGUAGUUACCAAUCACGCGAAGCAUGGCUGGUUUAACACGACGGUCAUAACGACUUGCUUUUAGCAGCUGUGCAAUAUUGUCAAUAAUUGCGCAUACUAUAUGUUGUGAUGAUCUCAGUCACCACCAUCUCAGCAACGAUGGUCUGUGAGGUCCCACACUUGCAUGUCUCCCUCUGAAAAAAUGAGAACAAUAAAAAGAUGUUAUAUUUUGUUGCAUAGAUACACACACACGCACACACACAUAUUUAACCUACCAUUUGGUUUAUUUAGUUCUCGGACGGCCUUAUGGUUUUAGGUUUGCACAGGGUAGAAGGCAGGCCAGUCUUCGGGCAAGUCUCAAAAUCAUCAAAAACAAGGCGUUUUCUAAUACCCUCGUACGCAAUGUUGAGACUAUCCCUCUUGAUGGCGUCGUCAAUCUGGCUAAACAAACGCAGCAUAGCUCUCCAGUUGCACCACUGUAUAAAAAACGUCCUUAAACCAUGUAGUGCGUUCUUCUAUGCUCAGAGGGUAAGGAUUUAACCUCCAGUUUUCAACCCCUCUGGCAUCAAUAAGACUUUCCCUGUCAUCACAUACACUGAGAAAAAUAAAGUCAUCUGGGGUGCGGUUGAAACGAUCAGCCUCGACCCUGUAAAGCUCAGGGCCUGUCGGACUGUUCCACAGGGAAACAUACAACAUCUCUGGGAAGCCCACAUUGUCCAAGUCCGCACAAACAACAGUGCGAAAGAGUUUCCAGUUUUUAGUAGACAUGACUUGUGACUCCCCCCAAAACACUCCCUCACCACAAUCUACACAAAGUAUAACUGCUCCGUUGGUAUAUUUAACGGUAUACACAUACCCAUUACUGCCUCGAUAUUCUAACUUAAAUUCAGUCCCAUCUACGGUGUUUUCACAGCAUUGCUUUUUGCAAUGAGGGCCCCGGCAUACGCCUGUAGACAUACCUAGUGCGGCUGUGGCUUGGGCGAUGUCCUGGCUGCUCGUCAUGGUUGAUACAGAUGUCAUCCUGCACUCCUUAGUUAGAGGUGUCUGUGUUCCUUAGGUUGCGCUGUUGAUGUUCCAAAUGGUGAAAGAGUCCGUUUUAUAUGUAUUGGACCAGCCCACUAGGAGGUGUCAUUACCACCCGGGGGGUUGGACACGGUUUCAGUUGACCUCUGACAUAAUAAGAUAAGAUAAAAAGGGUAGGAUGUAAAGAAGAAAGGUGGAAAACUGUUUGGAGGAUCGGUUGGUAAGUAGAAAGCGUAAUUGUCUGCCUGUACAGAUAAAGGUGUGGGGGUGUAAGCUAAAGGAAAAACCUUUGGAGGUUCAGUUGGACACGGUUUCAGUUGACCUCUGACAUGAUAAGAUAAGAUAAAGGAACUGUUUUGUAAUGAAAAACUAUGGAACUACUGUUGGGAUGUGUGAGUGCUGGGAUGCUCUUGAUAAGGAUGGCUCUUUUUUUAUGACUUCUUCUGCUGACUGUAGGGGGUCUAACUGUAACCCCCUCUGUCUAACUGUUGUAGAGUUAAGAAUAUGUAGUUUUAGAAGUAUCCCUGUUUAUAUCUAAAGGAAUACCUGCUGUUUGUGGUAUUCUGUUUAAAAACUAUUAGCCUCUGUGUCUUUCAGUUGUUGUGCUCUGUUUAAAACUAUUUGCUCCUGUGACUGUUCGAA